CUUGUGACAUUUUCAAUUCUGCAUAUAUCCCUGUAAGUUAGCUAUCUAUUGAUUUUAUUUUGUUUAUAGCUUGCUCUCUCCAAAUGGGUCGACGCCAAGCCUGAAAAACCUACUAUUUGUUCAGACACCCCAGAGCGGUGAUCUGGAAUAGUUGGAAGUUAUAAAUGCAUAAAUCUUUGAGAUGUGGAAGUUCAUUGUCAUUUUGAACCUUUCUGUGAUGUUUAAUUCCUUUGUUUUUUUCUCUCUCCAUGAAAUGGAACAUGCACUGGAUUUUGAUUUGCAUGGUUAAUCUUGUAAUAAUAAAAGUUUAAACGGAUGAUUUAGAACUUAUUGACAAACUGGCUGUGUAACUUUACUCUGCUUCCAGUUCCAGGUCCUGAAAUGAGAAAGCUGCCCAACUAUGUUAAGUUGGGUCAUAAGUUUAUGAAAUAAGUUAA